rnacentral:rRNA from 1 species
UACGUAGGGUGCGAGCGUUGCCCGGAUUUAUUGGGCGUAAAGGGCGCGUAGGCGGCCACGCACGUCCGUUGUGAAAUCGCCCGGCUCAACUGGGCGGGGUCGGCGGAUACGGCGUGGCUGGAGCAAGCUAGGGGGCAAUGGAAUUCCCGGUGUAGUGGUGGAAUGCGUAGAUAUCGGGAGGAACACCAGUGGCGAAGGCGGUUGCCUGGAGCUUUGCUGACGCUGAUGCGCGAAAGCCAGGGGAGCGAACGGG